rnacentral:sRNA from 1 species
AGAAAAGUAGGUGCCGCCCCGCACAGGGGCGACGCUAAUAGACCGCCGUGAAAUCAGGUUCUACAGAGGGACGCGGAUAACAGACAACAACACCCCGCGCCCCAC